rnacentral:lncRNA from 1 species
GGAGUUGGAUCUGCUGGCUUGAAGUCUUUCAGAGCACUUGAAGUCGUUGGUGCUGGAGUUCUGGGCUCCUUAGUUUUGCAACAAUUGCUUAUUCUGAUGAGGCGGAGCAUGGACUAGAGUGUCCCAGCUAUCCCUGGCCUCACGAAGGCAUUCUCAGUUCUUAUGACCAUGCUUCGUAAGUACUUAAGUGUUACUACAUGAUUGCUAAAGCUUCUUAGUUUAUAUUCCCUUUUUAUUGGUAAAGAUGUGGCCUCACGAAGGCAUUCUCAGUUUUUAUGACCAUGCUUCGUAAGUACUUAAGUGUUACUACAUGAUUGCUAAAGCUUCUUAGUUUAUAUUCCCUUUUUAUUGGUAAAGAUCUGGGUCAUUAAAUUUUUCACGUAGUUGUUAUAUGCCGAAUGAAAAUAUUUGCCCACAGAAAAAAGGUGAUUUAGCCUUUUUCUUACAGCAUUUUCCCGUGUAUCAGAAUUGGUGUAGGUGUAGUUGGUGUUCUUGCUCUGUAGCCUUGUUUUUUAAGUCUCUUACCUUAGAGAAUAUAUAUCAAUUUUCUGCUUUUCCAGAGCUAAUUUGUACACGAAGUUUCAAAUGAUGUGGAAAUCCAAUUAGUUUGUGUGCCUCUAUUUUUGAUACAGUAUCCGUCAUGUUUACCAGCAAGUGUGCUCAUCUUGCCACUCAAUGUCUCUAAUUUCUUAUCGUGAUCUUGUUGGUGUCGCAUACACCGAGGAAGAGACCAAGGCUAUGGCAGCAGAAAUUGAGGUGGUUGAUGGGCCUAAUGACGAAGGUGAGAUGUUUACCCGCCCUGGGAAGCUGAGU